UACGUAGGGGGCAAGCGUUGUCCGGAUUUAUUGGGCGUAAAGAGCGUGUAGGCGGUUUGGUAGGUCCGCUGUGAAAACUCGAGGCUCAACCUCGAGACGCCGGUGGAAACCAUCAGACUAGAGUCCGGAAGAGGAGAGCGGAAUUCCUGGUGUAGCGGUGAAAUGCGCAGAUAUCAGGAAGAACACCCGUGGCUAAGGCGGCUCUCUAGUACGGUACUGACGCUGAGACGCGAAAGCGUGGGUAGCAAACAGG
rnacentral:rRNA from 1 species